CGGUUCCUUUGCAGCGAUAGAUUGUGAACCCCGCCAGGCCUGGAAGGGAGCAACGGUAGCAGUUGAUUCGGGUGCUGAGA
rnacentral:SRP_RNA from 1 species